GCCAGCGUAGCACAGUGGCAGUGCGUUCGCUUCGUAAGCGAAAGGUCCUGAGUUCGACCCUCAGUGUUGGCU
rfam:Galdieria sulphuraria unplaced genomic scaffold scaf_4, whole genome shotgun sequence.